UACGGGGGGGAUAAGCGUUGUUCGGAAUUACUGGGCGUAAAGGGCUCGUAGGCGGCCAACUAAGUCAGACGUGAAAUCCCUCAGCUUAACUGGGGAACUGCGUCUGAUACUGGAUGGCUUGGAUUCGGGAGAGGAAUGCGGAAUUCCAGGUGUAGCGGUGAAAUGCGUAGAUAUCUGGAGGAACACCGGUGGCGAAGGCGGCAUUCUGGACCGGCAUUGACGCUGAGGCGCGAAAGCCAGGGGAGCAAACGGG
rnacentral:rRNA from 1 species